rnacentral:sRNA from 1 species
UGACCACUUUCAUUUAGAAAAAUGUGAAAGUUGAGGCCAUACGGACAGCCGGGUCAAGUGCCGA